rnacentral:rRNA from 1 species
UACGGAGGGCGCAAGCGUUGUUCGGAAUUACUGGGCGUAAAGCGCGUGUAGGUGGCUGAGUAAGUCGAAUGUGAAAGCCCCGGGCUCAACUCGGGAAUUGCAUCCGAAACUACUUGGCUAGAGUCCCGGAGAGGAAGGCAGAAUUCCCAAUGUAGGGGUGAAAUCCGUAGAUAUUGGGAGGAAUACCGGUGGCGAAGGCGGCCUUCUGGACGGUGACUGACACUCAGACGCGAAAGCGUGGGGAGCAAAC